UACGGGGGGGGCAAGCGUUGUUCGGAUUCACUGGGCGUAAAGGGUGCGCAGGUGGGUUUGCAAGUUCGAUGUGAAAGCCCCGGGCUUAACCCGGGAAUGGCAUUGGAUACUGCAGAUCUGGAGGAUCGGAGGGGGGACUGGAAUUCUUGGUGUAGCAGUGAAAUGCGUAGAUAUCAAGAGGAACACCAGUGGCGAAGGCGAGUCCCUGGACGAUACCUGACACUGAGGCACGAAAGCUAGGGGAGCAAACAGG
rnacentral:rRNA from 1 species